AUUGAACGCUGGCGGUAGGCCUAACACAUGCAAGUCGAACGGCAGAACAGUGCGUGCUCGCUCUUACGGGUGGCGACUGGCGGGCGGGUGCUGGAAACCUCGGAAUCUACUUUUUAGAACGGGCUAACGUGGGGAAUCAUACGCUAUUAGCGCUUACGACCUACGGGUGAAAGCUUGGGAUCUUAGGCUCUUGCGCGAGUGUAUGACCCGAUGUCGGAUUAGCUAGUUGGCGGGGUAAAGGCCCACCAAGGCGACGAUCCGUAGCUGGUCUGAGAGGAUGAUCAGUCACACUGGAACUGAGACACGGUCCAGACUCCUACGGGAGGCAGCAGUGGGGAAUAUUGGACAAUGGGCGCAAGCCUGAUCCAGCCAUACCGCGUGUGUGAAGAAGGCCUCCGGGUUGUAAAGCCCUUUUGGUGGGAAAGAAAAGCAGCAAGUUAAUACCCCGCUGUUUUGACGGUACCCAAAGAAUAAGCACCGGCUAACUUCGUG
rnacentral:rRNA from 1 species